GUUUUAAGAACUCUUACAGGUGAUCUGGGAACAUGCAGGCUGGAGCUACCAACUUCCAAUUAUGUGCCUGCCACCGAGGCGUGGGUAAGUGGGGGAGACAUGGCAAGAUCCACCUUUAUUUGUAAGCAUCCUCGUUCUCUUGUCUGAAAACACUCUUCCUCCCUGACUAUUAAAUAACCAAUCAGAAAACAGGAAAAUGUUCCCAUAGAAGAGCAGCGUGCGGGUGCCUUCGGGAAGCGCCAGUCUGUCACCGGUCAGCAGGGGCGUGUCCACUCUGCGCCUCCUCUGAGACCACCCUGCCCCAGGGGGGGGGCUUGCGUCCUCUCACCACGGCCCUUCGCAAAGGCGCACCAGCUGUAACAAAAUUCUGCCAGCACGCCUGAAGAUAUCACAGUGGGCACAAGAAUUCUUUAAAUCAAUAAUAAUGAUAGGUCUCUGUCAUUUCAUUCACUCAACAAACCGUUUGCUGCAGCACGGAUGGACCUAGAGAGCAUUGUGCUAAGUGAAAUAAGCCACUCAGAGAACGGCAAGUACCGUGUGACUUCACUUACAGGAGACCUCGGUGAAACAGCAGGGCGACUGUCCUCCCUCCAACAGCCUCAUCUAACUCAGCCGGGGUGACGAAUGUGACUGCAACAGCAGGACUCUGUGAAGUGGCACACUCUCCACCAUGCACUGAGCUUAGGCAUCUACCGGCCAGCCAUGAGCCUUGCUGAAGUUCCUUCCUCUGAUGGCUGGCCUUGGACCAACAUUUGAAAAGGCUUAGAUCUUUGGAAAGAAAGAUUUGGACAACAGAGUUGUUUUAUCUGGGAGGCUAACCCGUUUACUCAAGAGUUCCAGGACUUUGGUUUUGAUGUUAGUACCUUGGCCUAAGUUUCUGGGUCCCAGGCGGUCCUGGACGUGCCUACUGAGUUAGCAUGGGAAACUGGAGAGACCUGGCAGGGAGGAGGUGUCUCUGCGGAGGAGGGUGCCACGCGGAGCUGGACCACCUUGUUACCUAGGCACCUUGAAGAUGACAGAGAUGGGAGAAAGCCAUUUUCUAAAGGUCCUGUCUCUCGACACUCAUGAGAGGGAAACAACACUUCUCUAACUUACUCCCCAAAUAGACACCGCCGUGGAUGUUCUGCCAAGGAGUGAUGCGAAAGUGUGUUCCACAGUGAAAUGUAAGCUUGGCCCGGUGCCCGGCUCUCGGCUGUCUUUUGCACAGAGAGCUGCAGGCUGGCGUAGCGAAGGAGCACAUUUCUCCCCACGUGACUGCGAGAGCCAGGCAGCCCAGGCAGAUUUCUUUGUGUUAAUAAAAUGUGAUCUCUAGACUGUACACACCAGCAGCCCCGGAAAAACGUGAGCCAGAGCGAAGGACCCGAGGAAACCCGUGGCCCUGGCUGAAAAGGGGCAGCAGCUGCCCGCAGACUCGGCUGUCUGGGGGCCGGGCAUUCCAGCCUGCCGCGUGCGGAAGGCAAACACAGUCAGAGAUGGAAGGCCAUAGCAGCGGCUCAGGUGAAAGCUGCCUGAGACAUAAAGGUAAUUCGUGGACAGCCAUCACACGGGGCCCUUUGCAAAUGUGCAUCCUCUCUCGGCGGGCCACGGACCAAAGUCCUCCAUGCACACUCUCUCGAGACCUGCAGUAAACCUGGGGUCCAAGGCUCCGUGGCCUGGAAACUGAGAUCGCUCUCAGCAAGGAAGGAGUUGGACGCCUGGGUUCAAUGAUGAUUUCAUCCUGAUCUCCAUAUGGUUUUUGGCCACUGAGAAACGCCCGAAUGUAUUUUUAAGCUGCCUGCAAUCAGAAGGGAAGAGCUGAUGAAGAGAAGAGAAGACACACCUUUGCCAUGCAGCCGAGACACUCCAGACUCCUGGGGCAGACGAAGCGCCAGGGGCCAACACCAUUUCUAAUGUGAGCUGAGUUCGGACAAGCUCUCACAUUCAAGUGCUUAGCACCAUCCCGGCUUUCAGACAUGCUCUGGAUUACUAUGGUUUCAUAUGCAUUUAGCUGAUUUAAACUUAGGAGCCUUGUGCGCACUCUCUUAUGAAACUCAGAGAUAUCUGAUAGGAUAUAAAAAUAUGCUGAGAGAACUAGAAUGAGACAUCCCUCUUCAGAGGGGGCGACUUGCCUGGUUUGCCACCAGGGCACCUUGCUGUCCUUAGGACAGGGCUGGUGUACCUUUAAAAGCUUCUCUUGCCUCAUCCACACUCACAACACGGAAUGCACUAUGUCCAGACUGUCGCCAAGAACUGCACAGCUCCGAUAAUGCGUUUGAAAAACCCUCCCAUCAGGUGAAUACCGGUGCUUGAAUCGGCCACUUGCGGUCAUCCCCUUGGAGUAAAAAGUAUUUUCACACUUGUCUUCCACCUGGUUUACUUUUGUUUUCUCCAUUUCCCCAUUUCCAUUCCACUUCAACAGAAGGGCCCACUUUUGCUCUCCAGGGCCUCCCUGCCAGGCUGCAGUCUCGUAGGCGGGUGAAGAGGAGAGUGUUUGAGAGACUCACACCAGGGGGAGCAGAAGGCCGGGGAGGCGGCUACCACUGGAGACCCACCGUCCUGCCUGUCCCCACUCGACCGCUCAUCAGCAGCAACUAGGGGACCUGCCAGUUCUGCGCUUCAUGACCCUAAGUUGUCACCAAAAAGGAAAAAGAAGAAAACUGGAGCCGCAAACCUGAUGACAUGUUUUGGAAAGUCCUGAGAGUGUGCAAGGAAACAUACAGAAGCUCCAUCUCACCCUUUACCUCUCACCACCCCGCACUCCGUUCAAGGUCUUCCGGCUGCAGAGUCAGGGGAUAGUGGGGGACGGAGACAAAAGACACAGCCCUGGCCUGUGGAGCCCACAUUUCUUAAGAAAGGUCCCUAUAAAGGCGGGCCAUGAACUGGGGCAGGACCACCACCACUGCCGGCGUCUGCCGGUGCAGCACAUCUUUCAUGGAGGUCAACAGACAGGAUGCUCACCACUCCACCUCUUCAUUCCCCAUUCUGCCCUACAGUGGCUUGAAAGGUGGGGGGCAGUUCCCGGCCAUCACUACUACAGCACAAGAAGGGCUCCUACGUAAGCGUCCAUAGAUGACUACGUGGGUAGAAGAGGAGAAGGAACAGUAAUCAUGGCAUAGAAAUAAAAGGGAUGAAAGCCACCGCUCCCGUCUGGAGCUCUGCUCUGUGCACUUCCCAUUUAUGAUCUCCCUGGCUCCUCCAGGAGUGCCGGGGGGCAGGUGUUACCGGCCCCACACACAGAGGAGAAGGUGGCAGAGCCUCGGAGCCAGUCAAUGGCAGGGCCACGGUGGAAGCUGAGGCCAGAGGUCUAACCACCCCCUCAUGCUGCCUGCCGACGAACACAAGGGAAGACUACGAGGAGGUUGCUCAAACAGAUGGUUGUUUCAUUAGUCAAACUGCAGAGGAGGCCAGCAUCCUUGGGGACUGGUCUGGGACAUGCUCUCUGAUGGUAGUUAAACGAGCAAAAAUGCUCUUUUGAUUCCACCUAAUGAUACUGAAAAUUGAAGUUUAAAAAUAUAAACAUUUAGUGGGGUGGGACAAGUUGGGGUUGGAGACAAAGAGAAACUGCAAUGAUUCCGUGGACUUACUGACCCGAAUUCCUGAAAUGUCACGUGACGGAAGUUUUCUCGCUGUUUACUAAAUGUACACUGUAAUUAAGAACAAUUUAUAUACACACAAUUAAGGUCUUUACAGCCGGUUUUGUACACAAAUAAGUGUGCCUUCUAAGAUUCUGUGUGCAUAGUUAAUGUGUUUGGCAGUAUCUUUCUUUAUAAAGAGGACAGAGAAGAUAAUUUCAGUUUAAUGAAUUCGGGAUCAAGUGAUCACAGAAUCUGCAUCAGUGGAAAUAUUACCGCCAGGCUGGCUUACGAGUAAAAAGAGAAGCAGAAUAUUAGUAAACGCAAAUUGCUUCGUUACUGAAACUUCCUGUCAUUCAUCUUCAAACUUCUAAGGAAUUCAAGAACUAGAUAUUACGAACUGGCUUCUUAUGUUUGGGUAAAUUUCACUUAUAAUGUGAAAAAGUGUCUUUUUGACAUGGAUGCGAAUAUUUUAAAAAUUAUUCAGGUGUCACUUGCCAUUAAAGAUACUUUAGAUUCUACUGGGGGGAAAAAAAGGCGCCCACCUCCCUGGGGAAAGCGUAUUAACAUAAAGAAAUC